AGAUAACAGUGGAAGUGUCUUGCUUUGUUCGUGUGUCGUUUUUCAAUUUUCCUAGUUGAAUUGUGCAAGUCAAUAUAGUGUGCGUCGUAGGCUAGAUUUGUGUGCUUAAAAUCGAUCUAGGCCAGCCGACGGCUAUAUUUCCUUCCAAGCGCCAGGUCAGCGGAAUCCCCCGGACGAAAGACCCCGGCAACCGUCAUCUUGUCCGGUGGGAAGCGAUUCGUCCUCAUAUCGCUUUAGUGGGGAGUGUGGUCGUCCAUUGCCACCAUCGACCAAGCCGCCAUUGGAGACACGUGGAAGUCGCCAACCACCAUUCCUUGGCCCACGUGGUGGCCCUCAAUCGCCAACCGCCAGCGGCGGUAACAGCAGCGCAGGUACAGCAGAAGCAGUAAUCAUCUGGUGAGUCCGGCCCAAUUGUUCUUUGCUUGAAGUGUGGCGUCCGCUGAGCCGUUUCGUUGCUGCAUCGU